rnacentral:rRNA from 1 species
UACGUAGGAGGCAAGCGUUGUCCGGAAUUACUGGGCGUAAAGCGCGUGUAGGCGGUCUGAAUAGUCUGCUGUGAAAGCGCCUGGCUUAACCGGGCGAGGUCGGCGGAAACUCUCAGACUGGAGGCCGGUAGAGGGGGGGUGGAAUUCCCGGUGUAGUGGUGAAAUGCGUAGAGAUCGGGAGGAACACCUGUGGCGAAGGCGGCCCCCUGGGCCGCGCCUGACGCUGAGACGCGAAGGCUAGGGGAGCGAACGGG